rnacentral:tRNA from 1 species
GCCCACGUAGUGUAAAGGAUAACACAUGAGAUUUCGGCUCUCAGAAUAUGGGUUCGAUUCCUGUCGUGGGCGCCA